CGGGUGAGUAAUGCAUAGGAAUCUGCCCAGUAGUGGGGGAUAACGUGGAGAAAUCCACGCUAAUACCGCAUAUGUCCUACGGGACAAAGCAGGGGACCUUCGGGCCUUGCGCUAUUGGAUGAGCCUAUGUCGGAUUAGCUAGUUGGUAGGGUAAAAGCCUACCAAGGCGACGAUCCGUAGCUGGUCUGAGAGGAUGAUCAGCCACACUGGGACUGAGACACGGCCCAG
rnacentral:rRNA from 1 species